GUGGCCUGACGUUCUUCUAGCCCUUGUCCAAGAAAGCUACCCGAUGAGACGAAGAGAUCUCCGCAGAUAGGAGAUAUGACAUCAUUCAUUCAGGCAAUGAAUGCUGCCUACGUGGUACACCCUGUGCUGCGGGAACUCAGUGACAUAAUGAGCCCAAGACGUGGUCCCUGAACUCACAGCACGUGUGUGAACAAGCAUGACUUCAAAGGAAACAUGGCAAGAAGCAUACGUGUAAUCACAGCCUAAGGUACAGAAUUUAUCAUGAAGACAAGGAAAAGCAGCCUGCCUCUUAAGAGAUAUUCUGGAAAUAGCUUAAUGACAGAUCUCCAAGUACUGAAGACAUUAUCAACUCAUUUAAAGUUCUCUGUGAUGUUGGUUACUUGAAAAUCUUUAUCCUGUGUGUGUGUGUGAGUGUUUCCCAAAAUUGUUAUAU